GUUGUUUCAGUUAGACUAUUUAUAUUUAUAGUUGAGGCUGGGUUUAUUAGCUCCUAUACAGUCCCUAUGAAGAGGGCUGUCCUAGCAAGUCAACUUUUGGUUAAAGGGAUUAUUUUGUUCACUGGUAUUUUAAGUAACUCGCUGUGGGCCUGGUAGUUUUGUCAUGUUGGUGUGCUCUUAAUUACUUCGUUUUUUUUUUUUUUUUCAGGUUUACUUAUGAUAGUACUCUUAGUUUAGUUAAUGCCUUUGAGUAUAAUGGUGUACAGCUGAGAUGAACUUUAGAUGACUGAAUUUUAGGCGUGUCUUAAUUCUAAUUAACAUCUAAACUGGCCAUAUUGCUACGUGGAUGGUGUAAAUUAACAAUUCGUGCUAGUGACAAGUAAAAGGAUCAUAUUAAGGCACCUGCAUUCAAACAUGGCUAGCUUCGCUUGCAAGAAAUUAGUCUUGUGUAAUUUGAUAGUACGUUUAACACUUGAUUAGCCUGUGGGUGAUUGGGAAAGUAGAUUCCACAAGUAAGUUCAUGCCAUGUGGUAUAACCUAACCCUUAUCAGUGGAAUAAAAUGUUUCAAGGAAAGUUGUAUUAGGGUACUGUUCAGUUAGGCAUCAUCAGGUCUGUAUGGGUUAAGAUUUUUCAGCAUUUUGAAUAAGAGCUCGUGAGGCUUUAAAGUUAGGUUGCCGAGUUUUGUAUUUUACUGCAAUGAAGGACACUUAAGACAUGUGGACCACACAGGCAAAUCUGAAGGCAGCAUUGUAUGGCAUUUGCUGAGAUAAAUUACUGAUCCUUAAACCAGUCUUAGUAAUCUUAGGGAAGAUCUGGAAAAAGACAAUGUGAAACGCUGCUUUCUUUGGCACAAUUAUGGAACAACUUAACACAGAUGAGGAGCUGCUGACCAGGAAGAGAUGAGCGAGCUUGCAACCUCGCCCAGGAAGACAUUUGACUAAUAGGUUUUGCUUAGAACUAGAGUAGUGAUCAGCACCCUGCCAAGUCUAACAUAAAUCAAGAUUUAAGGUUGAUGCAGCAACAUAAGGCUUGUACUGAAUUUUACUGAAAUAUACAGAUCUUGAUAGAAUGACAUACAGGAAAUAUGUGAGUGACUGGUGCUGGGAAAUUAUUUUGAACACUGUCCAGUAGUCCAGUCUACAAUGUUUUCAGGGUGGUUUGGAGUGAAGCUUGAGAAUUGGCUACCCAGCUGUAGUAGAUGUGUUGUUUGUGCCACGCACAUAAUGAAAAGUCGACUUGCUUAAGAUUACAGUCUGGAGCUGUAUGCCACAAGGAGCUACAGAAACUGCAGUUUGAAGUACAUAUGUGGAGACUGCCUUGAAGGAUACAAGAAAAUAAGUGCUGAUCUGCAAGCAG